AAGGAUUUAAGUUAAAGCUAAACUAAUAACCUUCAAAGCUAUAAAUAGAAAAAUUUCUAAUCCUUG
rnacentral:tRNA from 1 species